rnacentral:antisense_RNA from 1 species
GUGAGGGUGACGUCCCAUGACCCGGUCUCGCCGGUGAGUCCGUCGGCGCCGAUGUGGUCGCCGUCGGCCAGGACGCCCAGCGCGCUCUCGCCGCCGUACUUGCCCUCCGUGGUCUUGCGCAGCUUGCCGUGCGCGACGAGGACCAACUGGUCGGCGGGGCGGCCGGCUUCGACGAUCGUCUCCCCCGGCCCGAAGUCGCGCUGCCGGCAGCGGCUGGCGAGCGCUUCGAGCACGGCGCGGUCCUCAUAGCCGCGCAGCAGCGGCAGUUCGGUCAGCUCCAGCGGAAUGACCCGUACGUCGCUGCCGGAGCUGACGAAUUCGAUCCGGCCGUCCCCGAGGGUGUGCGUCAGACGCCUGUUGACGCGGAACGUGCCGCCGGGAACGUGCACCCAGGGAAGGACCUUCAGCAGCCACCGGGAGGUGAUUCCCUGCAUCUGCGGAGGCGUUUUGGUGGUGGUGGCGAGAUUGCGCGCGGCCUGUGUCGCGAGACUCGACUGCGCCUGCGG